UGCGACGUUGGCACCGCAGGCUUCUGCUACUUUGCUGGCUCGGGCAGUGCGUACCGCUGUGGUACAUUACUCGCAGCGCAAAACUUUAAGGACCACUCAGCGGCGUUCAAUAGGACAUUAAUGCUUUCGCAUUCACAACUCAUAAGUGCUUGGGUGUCAUCGGAUGUUUCAGGGUGGCGCGACAAAUUUGACGCAAAUGUGGGGAAAUGCACUGUAGUUACCAAGCGUCGGCCACUAUUUCUCUUAAUAGGAGUCUUGUGAUUUCUACGCAGGGUCGGACCAAAGGCAUGAAAGUUGCCUUCGGGUGGAUCCUCCUCCAGGCGGUCGGAAACGUUAUGUACGUGUACGGAUGCGUCCUGUACGAGACGGUCAUCAUGCUGCCGUGUUUCGAGUGAGCAAGCCAGGAGAAAUCCCGACCAACUAGAGGCUAACAGCUUCAUUGUAAAACAUAAUGAGUGAAUCCCGAGAUCGUGAUCUCCUUCCCGGCCGCAGCAUACAUGUACUCCCACAGUACACGAAUAGCCGGCGCGACAGCCUGGCUUCUUGGUGAGGCGUACGUGCUUUCCAGGAUGUACGAGUUCCAGAGCGUGUUCGCGGCACCGGAUCACUAGCGGGCCCAUGGGAAGGAACAGGCAGCACCUGCUCUUGCGCACGCCCAAUGAUCCUCCCGCUGUCUUCCCGCGGGGCAAUGAUUUAAGAUAUUGUUCAAUAAACUCACGCAUAUCUGUGAGAUUGCGGUCCUACGUUCGAGACGGACAAGAUUCUGUGAUUUCAUAAAACUUUGCAGGUUUUCGUGCUCA